UUACUAAACAUACUCACGCCCGGUGCAGCCAGCUCACGCUCGACCUACAUCCAACCCGAGAGCUCUAAAGCUCAUCCACGCCCGACACAGCCAACGCGCGCCCGGCCUAAAAUCAACCAGAGAGUUCUAAAACUCAUCCAUGCCCGGCGUAGAAUCCCCAUGCCCAGCGUCAUUGAGAUAGAGACUCAUAGGAGUCUCCACGCUCGGCGCGUUAGCCCUGCGCCCGGUGUCGUCUAGAUAGAGACCUCUAGAGGUCUCCACACCCGGCGCACCUACCCUACGCUCGACGCCAUAUUAGUAACUUACUAAACAAGGCCACUAUCUGAUAUCGUUCCCGGCGUGGUUCUCCUCACGCCCGACGUGAACUCAUCCAAAGGCUCCCAAUUACAAUCGCACGCGGCAUGAUCAAGAAAUGGUUGCCCUUGAUGAAUGUACGUCUGGUGCUAAGAACAUGUGCCCGGCGCAAAUUCAUACAGCAACCUCCAAAACUUCAAAAAUUUCCAUCAAAACCUGAAAAUCAACAAAUCCAGCCACAUGCAAUCCAUGAAAUCUAACACAUAGGCUCAAUACAACUUGAAAACAAACUCAGAUUCAACAUGCACUCUAGCUCCCCUCACCUGAAAGUUGGCUCAGAACAGCCAAGAACUGAGAAGAAGAAGAAUUUAUUUCUAAAGCUCAACCCAUGAACUUCAAUCUUCCAAAACAAGCUUCUUAGCCUGAAUUCCAAGAAAAGACAGAAGGGAUUAGUGAUCUAGAGAAGAAGAAGAAUCAAAUAGAGAAAUUUAUGAGAGAAAGGAGCUCACAGACCCUUAUGUUGUGGAAUGAAAAAGAAUCCUAAAUUAGCUUAGUCUAUAAACAAGGAAACUAUAAGUAAUCCAACUAAUAAACUGAUAGAGAGUUGGAUCUAACUAUUUUAUUAUUACUUUUAAUCGAUCUAAAAUAUCACACUAUUAUUUUUAUUUUUUAUUAUUAUGCAAUCAUUUUUAAUUACUUGUUUGUGUAUUAAAAAGUUAUGUGAUUAUCUCAUGUGUUACCCAUAAUUGUUAAUGAUACUAUAUUUAUGCUUGAGAUCUCUAAAAAUAACAUUUACAAAUCCUUAAAACUAAUGUUAUUUAUCUAUCUUAAAAUGUAUGUAAGAAAAAUAGUGACUUUAGAAUAUUUUAUAAUAAUCAAAAUCAAAUUUUUCUUAUAUUUUUUUUAAAAAUUUUAAGUUCUUAUUUAAAAAAAAUCAAUUUAUUAUAAAUGUAAAAAAAAAAAAAAAAAAGGUUGCCCAGAAUUCGGGAAUUUCGGUAAUCAUCAAAACAUCGUUGGUGUUACUAUGGUCAAAAUUUGAUUCUCUGGAGACCGAAUUAUAAACUUGCACAGUAAAUAGUUUUAGUUUGAUAAAUAAAGGGGAGGGGGGGUCUACUUUUGUAAUUUUUAAAAAAAAUUAUUUUCCAAUAAAAAAUUCUUUUCAGUUCCUUAAGGAAAAGUAAUAUGAUUUGAUAGCUUGGAUUACAUAGUCUAAACACUAUAACACAUUUAAACUCCGUUGUAAACAUGAGACAACCAAAGAUAUUCAAAAAAAAAAAUAGAGGGAAGAAAUUGCCACAAUUCAUUCCCUAUUCAAGCGAGAAACAAACAAAGAGAGUGAGCAAAAACACGGUAUUCACCUUCGUCUCUCUUGACUCUUCAAAACUGUGUUUUGACCCGAAACCCUAACCAAAGUUAACAUGCGUCGAUGGAGCAUCUUCUCGUUGAGGCCUUUCCAAUCCCAUACUUUUUGGUAGUUGUAAUCUCUCUGAUUUUCUCUUUUACUUUCUUUUUCACAAUUUCGGUGCUUCUUUAUUUUCUUUACUCUCUAGUUUGGACGCAUGCCUUUUCAUGAACCAUUUUUUUUUUUAAUUUCAUUUUUCUUGUUUGUUACUUGAAUCUGUUUCGAAUGUGCUAUUUUUCUUUGUGUUUAUGCGAAAUGCGAUUUCGAGUUUUUUGAUCGAUUGAAGUUUUGAAAACAAGAAGAUUGAGGCGUUGUGUUGUUGAAGCAAUAGAGAAUUGGGCUACUUUCGAUUUUUUUUUUCCUUACCAAAAAGACAUUUACAUUUUAUUGUGUGAAUUGGAAAGCAGGGAAGGAGGAGUAGCCUAGGGAUGAUGUUGUUGUUGAAGAUGAAACUAAUGGUGGGUUUCUAUUGAAUCUUCAUAUUUUGAUAUAGUUUAUGAUCCCGAUUCAGGUUUUGACUUUGAAGAUACUAGGUAAAAUGAACAUUGCUGCAUGGGCUAGCAAACAAGAGGAGGAUAAGGAUGCAUCCACUUCCUUGAAAACAAAAUCAGAACCACCUAAGAAUGUCAUUGAAGCACGUGCAGUAGCAUGAGAGGAAGCUGAGAAGGCCAAGUAUAUGGACAGUUGUUGGCUUGAAGUGAAACAGGCUUGAGAUCCCACAUGAUAUCUCACAAGAUUACACUAUUUUAGUUGUCCUAGGGAAGGAGGAGCAGCCUAGGGAUGAUGUUGUUGUUGAAGAUGAAACUAAUGGCGGGUUUCUAUUGUAUCUUCAUAUUUGGAUAUAGUUUAUGAUCCCGAUUCAAGUUUUGACUUUGAAGGGAAGGAGGAGCAGCCUAGGGAUGAUGUUGUUGUUGAAGAUGAAACUAAUGGCGGGUUUCUAUUGUAUCUUCAUAUUUGGAUAUAGUUUAUGAUCCCGAUUCAAGUUUUGACUUUGAAGGGAAGGAGCAGCAGCCUAGGGAUGAUGUUGUUGUUGAAGAUGAAACUAAUGGUGGGUUUCUAUUGUAUCUUCAUAUUUGGAUAUAGUUUAUGAUCCUGAUUCAGGUUCUGACUUUGAAGGUAAAUUAUUUGACUCUGAUUUUAAACUCUGAAUAUCUUAAUGUCAUUGGACGUCUAGUAGUUUGAGUUUUUCUUGUUACAGAUUUCUUGGUCACAUUCCUCUCUCAAGUUUUCCUUUAUUUUUUUUUUCCACAUAAUUCUUGAUAUAUAGAUUCAUAGGAUUCAAUUCUUUUAUUAGAUACUAGGUUAAAUGAACAUUGCUGCAUGGGCUAGCAAAGAAGAGGAGGAUAAGGAUGCACC